UGUAUUCACUACUGUAAGUAGCUCUGGAUAAGAGCGUAUACUAAAUGACUGAAA
rfam:Salmo salar isolate Sally breed double haploid chromosome ssa01, whole genome shotgun sequence.